AGAGUUUGAUCCUGGCUCAGGAUGAACGCUAGCGGCAGGCCUAACACAUGCAAGUCGAACGGUAACAGAGAAGAGCUUGCUCUUUUGCUGACGAGUGGCGCACGGGUGCGUAACGCGUAUACAAUCUACCUUUUACAGGGGGAUAGCCUUUAGAAAUGAAGAAUAAUACCCCAUAGUAAGUAAUUAUGGCAUCAUAGUAACUUUAAAGUUUCGGCGGUAAAAGAUGAGUAUGCGUUCUAUUAGCUAGAUGGUAAGGUAACGGCUUACCAUGGCAACGAUAGAUAGGGGCCCUGAGAGGGGGAUCCCCCACACUGGUACUGAGACACGGACCAGACUCCUACGGGAGGCAGCAGUGAGGAAUAUUGGACAAUGGGCGAGAGCCUGAUCCAGCCAUGCCGCGUGCAGGAAGACUGCCCUAUGGGUUGUAAACUGCUUUUAUAUGGGAAGAAACCACAGAACGUGUUCUGUGCUGACGGUACCAUAAGAAUAAGGAUCGGCUAACUCCGUGCCAGCAGCCGCGGUAAU
rnacentral:rRNA from 1 species